UUUAUGGAGAGUUUGAUCCUGGCUCAGGAUGAACGCUGGCGGCGUGCCUAAUACAUGCAAGUCGAGCGAACGGACGAGAAGCUUGCUUCUCUGAUGUUAGCGGCGGACGGGUGAGUAACACGUGGAUAACCUACCUAUAAGACUGGGAUAACUUCGGGAAACCGGAGCUAAUACCGGAUAAUAUUUUGAA
rnacentral:rRNA from 1 species